rnacentral:rRNA from 1 species
UACGUAGGGCGCAAGCGUUGUCCGGAAUUAUUGGGCGUAAAGAGCUCGUAGGCGGUCUGUUACGUCCGCUGUGAAAACCCAGGGCUUAACCCUGGGCUUGCAGUGGAUACGGGUAGACUAGAGGCAGGUAGGGGAGAAUGGAAUUCCCGGUGUAGCGGUGAAAUGCGCAGAUAUCGGGAGGAACACCGGUGGCGAAGGCGGUUCUCUGGGCCGAUUCUGACACUGAGGAGCGAAAGCGUGGGGAGCGAACAGG